GCUCAGUGGGUUGAGUGUCUGACUCUUGAUUUCGGCUCAGGACAUGAUCUCAGGGUCGUGGGAUCGAGCCCCACAUUGGGCU
rnacentral:tRNA from 1 species